UGUGCACCUACAGAUGACACAAACUUGAGGAUCAUAUAUAGGAUAAUACGAAGUACUUAUAUGGGCCGGGUUAGGGCCAGCCGGCCAAGCCGAGCGAGCAAAUAUUUUAAUAAUGGGUUGGUUCGGAAAGCAGUUAAAGAUAUUAAGACAAAGAGUCAAAAGACGAGGACGUACCAACAAGUGUAACAAGAUCAUGAUCAUUGAGACCUUUAUCAGCAAACUUCUGCCUAUGAACAGCAAUUGAUUCCAGAGGAGAAGGCAAGUUUACAGCAUCAGAUGCAGAGGACCUCUUCCCAUCCAGUCUUCCUAGUGGAACUCCCCAAUUCGGCCCGCCCGUC